rnacentral:ribozyme from 1 species
GGUGCAACAGCUACAAUCCCACUGCAACACUUGCAGCGGUACUGGUGAGGUUAUCCCGCCCUCUGCAAGAUGUGGAAAGUGCUCUGGUGAAAAGGUGGUACAAGAGCGCAAAGUGUUGGAAGUAUAUGUCGAACCUGGGAUGGAGCAUGGCCAAAAAAUAACUUUUACU